CGGGUGAGUAACACGUGGGUAACCUGCCCAUCAGAAGGGGAUAACACUUGGAAACAGGUGCUAAUACCGUAUAACAAUCGAAACCGCAUGGUUUCGGUUUGAAAGGCGUUUUUGCGUCACUGAUGGAUGGACCCGCGGUGCAUUAGCUAGUUGGUGAGGUAACGGCUCACCAAGGCAACGAUGCAUAGCCGACCUGAGAGGGUGAUCGGCCACAUUGGGACUGAGACACGGCCCAA
rnacentral:rRNA from 1 species